rnacentral:lncRNA from 1 species
GCUUGUAGAUUCGCCCGGACCAGGAAGCGGAUCGCGUGGACUGGAAGUCACACUGCGGCGGGAGGGGGUAUGUUGACUCUGAGCAAUAAACAACAUAUUUCUAACAUUCAUGAUUGACUUCUAAAGACUCUGGGUAUGUGAAGAAGAAACUCAGAAGAGGAAGAGGAAAGCAAAGGAGUCAGGGAUGGCUCUUCCUCAGAUUCCAUCUCUCGUGACCCAAUGACAUGAACAUGAGAAGAGGUUGCAGUAGGCAUGGUCCUGGGAAGGGCUCACACACAGACAUGGAUGGAGACGGGGUGAGGGUCCUAUGGUGUCAGUGGUGUUGGGCGGCAGGGAUUGUUCAGGGCCGCAUCUGGAUGCACUGUCAGUUUUCUGUGGACCAAGAUUAGAGUAGCUGCCAAUG